GAGAAGUAAUUCACCUUUUGUUCUAGCGGCGGACGGGUGAGUAACGCGUGAGCAACCUGUCCUUGUCUGGGGGAUAAGGAGCCGAAAGGCUCUCUAAUACCGCAUGAGACCACGGGAUCACAUGGUUCUGAGGUCAAAGGAUUUCGGUCCGGACAGGGGUGGGCUCGCGUCUGAUUAGCUAGUUGGUGGGGUAAGGGCUCACCAAGGCAAAGACCAGUAGCCGACCUGAGAGGGUGAUCGGCACAUGAACUGGAAACGGUCAACUCUACGAAGCAGCAGUGGGAAUAUUGGCAUGGGCGAAGCCUGACCAGCAACGCGCGGAGAAGAAGGCUUCGGGUCGUAAACUUCUAUCCCAGAUGAGAUAAUGACGGUAAUCUGGAAGGAAGCCCCGGCUAACUACGUGCCAGCAGCCGCGGUAAUACGUAGGGGGCAAGCGUUGUCCGGAAUGAUUGGGCGUAAAGGGCGCGUAGGCGGCCUUUUAAGUCCGAUGUGAAAGUCCUGCUUUUAAGGUGGGAAUUGCAUUGGAAACUGGAAGGCUUGAGUGCAGGAGAGGUAAGUGGAAUUCCCGGUGUAGCGGUGAAAUGCGUAGAGAUCGGGAGGAACACCAGUGGCGAAGGCGACUUACUGGACUGUAACUGACGCUGAGGCGCGAAAGUGUGGGGAGCAAACAGGAUUAGAUACCCUGGUAGUCCACACGGUAAACGAUGAGUGCUAGGUGUAGGAGGUAUCGACCCCUUCUGUGCCGGAGUCAACACAAUAAGCACUCCGCCUGGGGAGUACGGCCGCAAGGUUGAAACUCAAAGGAAUUGACGGGGGCCCGCACAAGCAGCGGAGCAUGUUGUUUAAUUCGAAGCAACGCGAAGAACCUUACCAGGUCUUGACAUCCAGUAAAAACUGUAGAGAUACAGUGUGACUUCGGUCAUACUGAGACAGGUGGUGCAUGGUUGUCGUCAGCUCGUGUCGUGAGAUGUUGGGUUAAGUCCCGCAACGAGCGCAACCCUUGUGAUUAGUUACUAACGCGUAGAGGCGAGGACUCUAAAAAGACUGCCCGGGACACUCGGAGGAAGGUGGGGACGACGUCAAUCAUCAUGCCCCUUAUGACCUGGCUACAAACGUGCUACAAUGGCCACUACGAGACUGCAAACUCGUACGUAGCGAAUCUCAUAAAAGCGGUCCCAGUGGAUUGUGGGCUGCAACCCGCCCACAUGAAGUCGGAGUUGCUAGUAAUCGCGAAUCAGCAUGUCGCGGUGAAUACGUUCCCGGGCCUUGUACACACCGCCCGUCACACCAUGGGAGUUGAUAGCGCCCGAAGUCGGUGAGGCAACCGUAAGGAGUCAGCCGCCGAAGGUGAGAUCAAUGACUGGGGUGAAGUCGUAACAAGGUAACC
rnacentral:rRNA from 1 species